UACGGGGGGGGCAAGUGUUGUUCGGAAUCACUGGGCGUAAAGGGAGCGUAGGCGGGCUCUUAAGUUGGAUGUUUAAAACCGGGGCCCAACCCCGGCGUGGCAUCCAAAACUGGGAGUCUUGAAUGGAACAGAGGCUAGUGGAAUUGGAGGUGUAGCGGUGGGAUGCGUAGAGAUCUCCAAGAACACCCGUUGCGAAGGCGGCUAGCUGGGUUCACAUUGACGCUGAGGCUCGAAAGCGUGGGGAGCAAACAGG
rnacentral:rRNA from 1 species